GCCAGGCAUGGUACCUCACGCCUGUAAUCCCAGCUACUCAAAAGGCUGAGCCAGGACAAUCGCUUGAACCCAGGAGGCGGAGGUUGCAGUGAGCCGAGAUCAUGCCCCUGCCCUGCAGCCGGGGCAAAAAAAUGAGCCUCUGUCCAAAAAAAAAAAAAAAAAACGGGGCCGGGCGCGGUGGCUCAAGCCUGUAAUCCCAGCACUUUGGGAGGCUGAGACGGGCNNNNNNNNNNCCCUUCUUUUUUUUUUUGAGACAGAGUCUCACUCUGUUGCCCAGGCUGCAGUGCAGUGGCAUGAUCUCGGCUCACUGCAACCUCCGCCUCCUGGGUUCAAGCGAUUGUCCUGGCUCAG
rnacentral:SRP_RNA from 1 species